AUUGAACGCUGGCGGCAGGCCUAACACAUGCAAGUCGAACGAGUGGCGGACGGGUGAGUAAUGUCUGGGAAACUGCCUGAUGGAGGGGGAUAACUACUGGAAACGGUAGCUAAUACCGCAUACCAUCGGAUGUGCCCAGAUGGGAUUAGCUAGUAGGUGGGGUAAAGGCUCACCUAGGCGACGAUCCCUAGCUGGUUUGAGAGGAUGACCAGCCACACUGGCACUGAGACACGGUCCAGACUCCUACGGGAGGCAGCAGUGGGGAAUAGUGGACAAUGGGCGCAAGCCUGAUGCAGCCAGGCCGCGUGUAUGAAGAAGGCCUUCGGGUUGUAAAGUACUUUCAGCGGGGAGGAGUUACCCGCAGAAGAAGCACCGGCUAACUCCGUGCCAGCAGCCGCGGUAAUAC
rnacentral:rRNA from 1 species